rnacentral:misc_RNA from 1 species
GAAUGUCUGAAACAACCACAAAGCGGUUCAGCAGAAGCCCUUCACCUGAUCCGGUUGUUGAUGGCAUAAAAUCUGAAGAGUUGGGGGAACCUAAGUCAGAAGAGACGGAGAACAGAAAGUCCGUAGAGGCGGUGGAUACAAAGCUCGAAGACUCAAUGGAUCCACACGAAACUUCAGAGGAGGUAGUAGAGGAUAGACGUUCGAUAUCCGAGACCAGUGAAGCAGAUUCUGAGCUGCAACACACUGAUGCGAUCAUAGGCGAGCAGACUUUCAGUUAUGAACAAGUAAACACCAAGUCCAGUAAUCCAGCCAAAGGAAUCGAUUUCAAGAAAAGAGAGGCAUACUUGUCUGACGAGGAGUUUCAUACUAUUCUUGGAAUGACGAAAGAGGAAUUUAAUCGACAGCCAAAGUGGAAGCGCGAUAUGCAGAAAAAGAAGGUGGAUCUCUUUUAAGAUUG